ensembl:lncRNA
AAAACAUUUCAUACGGAACAAAGUGCCUUAAAACCUCCUGCCUACACACUGACACGAAACCUUUCAAACUCUAAUUUCACAUAAUCCACUGACGUAAAGACGGACCCUCUUUGGGGAACAGGUGGGUCUAUAUCUACACAGGCAGCUCAUCCACAGCUUGCAAUCAUUCCCUGUAGAAGAAACAGAGAGAUCGUGAGAAUUCAUCCAGACGUGAAGAUGUUGGCAGUUGUGGUUGUUUUAUUCCUGGCAGCUGGCGUGAGUGACAGCGUGAUUUUGAGUAAAUGUGAGCUGAAGCGGCAGCUUGAAAGUGGCCUUACUCUCCCAGUUCCCAAUUCUACAGACAUACUGGCACAGAUCGUGUGUCACGUCCAGCUGACCUCUGGCUUCAAUACCAGUGCCAUUAAGACGAUCGCUGAGCCACAAGAGCACAGCAGUGGUCAGGGUUCUCGCCAUGGUAGGUCUCCCAGAGGAAAAAAUCCAGGCAGCCCCUCCAGGCCAGCCACCCCUGCGCCCCGUGUGGAAAGUGACGAGGACGAAAGUGAGGUCUGGACUCUGUACGGCUUGUUCCAGCUUAGUGACCACGUGGUGUGCCGCUCUACUCAAAGUCGUACACUGAACCUCUGUGGGCUGACCUGCGACAAGCUGAUUGACGAUGACACCCGUGAUGACAUAGCCUGCGUCCAGGCCCUUAUAAAUGCAGUAUCUGCGCCGAUUCCUGACCCCAAAACUGCUAAACACAUCCAUAAAAUGAUCUCGCUGAUCCACCAGCCACAGUGCAUCACCGUGAACGCCACUUCAUACUUCGCCAGCUGUUAAACACCCAGAAUUCAAGACCUCUUGUAGCUCCCUGCUUUAUUUUUGCAUUUCUGUGCAUUUAUAUUCGUAGCUUUCUUGCAGGACCACAAAAUCCCAGCACAAGUAGCUUAUUAAAACCAUUUGAAAAGCAGUGUUGUGCUCAUGAGCUUCAUUAAUGUGCCUCUUCAGUCUGAAGUAGAUAACUGAAAUGAACAUUUCCAUGUCCAUUGUGCUGCCAAAGCCAAUUCAAAUCAAAUGAAGAAAAAAAAAGCAUUUUUAAGGAGGUAAGAGUGUGUGGUGUGUAGGAGUUGGUGGUUGAUACUGUAAAAUGACUGAAUGAUGGUUCAGUAAGUGGUUAAGAUACGUGAGUUAAGAUAUUUUACGCACCAUUUUCUGUAUUCAGUGGGCAAUAUAAUAAGUACAUAUAAUAUCCACUAGAUGGAGUGCUUGUUAACGAAUGGAUUGUGGCGCUGAAGUAUGAUUAUUGAUUAUGUCUACUGACAAAAUUGUUGACAAAAUAACUUUAACUAGGCCUAAUGUUUUGUGAAAUAUAGAAAUUUCAUGAUAAAGCGGGAUUAAUCAUGUUUUAAAUGCAUAUUGUUAUUUAUUAUUUUAAUUUACUUGCAUAUAGCCUACAUUAAACCUACAUGAGGCCUAAGAAGCCUAAUGCAUGUGAAAAUGUUAAGUGACUGACACUGACUGUAUGAAGAAAUGUAUGCAAUGUGUAAACUGCAAAAAGCUCAGAGACACUUAGCAGUCUUUAAUCUGGUCUUUAUUAGAAAUACUUCAGAAGACGACUGAUUAUAAUGCAAAACCUGUCAGGAUUGUGCUUUUUAUUCAAAUGCAAACAAGGACUGAUGCAGUCAUGCAGAUAUAAAAAGUGACAUCAGUUGUUGUCUCAAGUAAUUGUGAUACAACACAUGUGCACCUAACUAGGCAGUACUUCAAAGUAAAACACAUGGUGAUUACUUAGCCUACUGUAAAUACAAGCACAAAGAUUUACUCUCAUGUCAACGUAUAA